AUGACUCAGACUCCAGAAUCUCUCUCAGUGUCUGUGGGAGAGACCGUCACUAUCAAAUGCAAAGCCAGCGCAAGCAUUAGCAACAACAUCGCUUGGUACCAACAGAAACCUGGACAGGCUCCCAAGAGUCUUAUCUAUUACACCAGCAACCGUCCUACAGGCAUCCCAGACCGGUUCACUGGCAGUGGGUCGGGCACUGACUACACAUUCACAAUCAGCAGGGUUGAAGCAGAUGAUGCUGGAGAUUAUUACUGUCAGCAGUAUAACAACUUCCCUCUCACAGUGAUACAGACCAAUACAAAAACCUCCCUGCUCUAUGAAGCAUGCAGCAUAGUAGACACUAGUACACACAACUAG